rnacentral:piRNA from 1 species
UCUAUUGACAAUCUCCAAAAU